AUGGCAGCAGUUGGCCUGCAGCCAAGAUGGUUCCUGCUGGAUGCAGAAGGGGGUCCCUACAUUGGCUGGUGGGACAGGAAGGACAUCAAGAAGGGGGAGAAGAACACAAUUGUCACCUCUUACAACAGGAACUUCAUGGGCCGCAGUGAUACCAACCCUGAGACCCAUGCCUUCGUCAAGUUCCCAGAGAUUGUCACAGCCCUGGCCAUUGCAGGAACCUCAAGUUCAACCCAGACACUGACUACCUGAUGAGCAAGGAUGGCAAGAAGUUCAAGCUGGAUGAGCUUCCCCAAGUGGAGUUUGACCCAGGGCAGGACAUCUACCAGCACCUCCACCCCCGCCAAAGGACAGGAGUGGGCAGCACAUUGACGUGAGCCCCACCAGCCAGUGCCUGCAGCUACUGCAGCCUUUUGACAAAUGGGAUGGCAAGGACCUGGAGGACCUGCGGAUCCUCAUCAAGGUCAAAGAGAAGUGUACCACUGACCACAUCUUGGCUGCUGGCCCCUGGCUCAAGUUCCAUGGGCACUUGGACAACAUCUCCAACAACUUGCUCAUUGGUGCCAUCAACAUUGAAAAUGGCAAGGCCAACUCUGUGCACAAUGCCCUCACCCAGGAGUUUGGCCCUGUCCUUGAGACUGCCUGCUACUACAAGAUACAUGGCAUCAGAUUGAUGGUGAUCAGGGACAAGAACUACGGUGAGGGCUCGAGCCAGGAGCAUACAGCACUAGAGUCUCACCACCUUGGGGGCCGGGCCAUCAUCACCAAGAGCUUCGCCAGGAUCCAUGAGACCAACCUGAAGAAGCAGGGCCUGCUGCCCUGACCUUUGCUGACCCAGCUGACUACAACAAGAUUCACCCUGUGGACAAACUGACCAUUCAGAGCCUGAAGAAAUUCUCCCCUGGCAAGUCCCUGAACUGCAUCAUCUGGCACCCCAAUGGGACCCAGGAGACCAUCCUCCUGAACCUCCUGAACCUUCAACGAGAUGCAGAUCAAGUGGUUCCGCACCGGCAGUGCCCUCAACAGAAUGAAGGAGCUGCAGCAAUGA